rnacentral:rRNA from 1 species
GACGAACGCUGGCGGCGUGCCUAACACAUGCAAGUCGAACGGGGUUACCCUUCGGGGUAACUUAGUGGCGAACGGGUGAGUAACGCGUGAGAAACCUGCCUCUCAGUGGGGGACAACAGUUGGAAACGACUGCUAAUACCGCAUAACACUUUAGUACCGCAUGGUACAGAAGUCAAAGCUUUAUGUGCUGAGAGAUGGUCUCGCGUCUGAUUAGCUAGUUGGCGGGGUAACGGCCCACCAAGGCGACGAUCAGUAGCCGGUCUGAGAGGAUGAACGGCCACAUUGGGACUGAGAUACGGCCCAGACUCCUACGGGAGGCAGCAGUGGGGAAUAUUGGGCAAUGGGGGAAACCCUGACCCAGCAACGCCGCGUGAAGGAAGAAGGCCUUCGGGUUGUAAACUUCUUUACCAGGGACGAAGAGCGUGACGGUACCUGGAGAAAAGCAACGGCUAACUACGUG